UGCCUACGGGACGCAGCAGUGAGGAAUAUUGGUCAAUGGGCUUACGCCUGAACCAGCCAAGUCGCGUGAGGGAAGACUGCCCUAUGGGUUGUAAACCUCUUUUGUCAGGGAGCAACGCCGGCUACGUGUAGCCGGACUGAGAGUACCUGAAGAAAAAGCAUCGGCUAACUCCGUGCCAGCAGCCGCGGUAAUACGGAGGAUGCGAGCGUUAUCCGGAUUUAUUGGGUGUAAAGGGAGCGUAGGUGGCAUGGUAAGCCAGAAGUGAAAACCCG
rnacentral:rRNA from 1 species